AUUGAACGCUGGCGGCAGGCCUAACACAUGCAAGUCGAGCGGAUGAAGGGAGCUUGCUCCUGGAUUCAGCGGCGGACGGGUGAGUAAUGCCUAGGAAUCUGCCUGGUAGUGGGGGAUAACGUCCGGAAACGGGCGCUAAUACCGCAUACGUCCUGAGGGAGAAAGUGGGGGAUCUUCGGACCUCACGCUAUCAGAUGAGCCUAGGUCGGAUUAGCUAGUUGGUGGGGUAAAGGCCUACCAAGGCGACGAUCCGUAACUGGUCUGAGAGGAUGAUCAGUCACACUGGAACUGAGACACGGUCCAGACUCCUACGGGAGGCAGCAGUGGGGAAUAUUGGGCAAUGGGCGAAAGCCUGAUCCAGCCAUGCCGCGUGUGUGAAGAAGGUCUUCGGAUUGUAAAGCUCUUUAAGUUGGGAAGAAGGUCAGUAAGUUUAUACGUGGCUGUUUUGACGUUACCUACAGAAUAAGCACCGGCUAACUUCGUG
rnacentral:rRNA from 1 species